rnacentral:lncRNA from 1 species
ACCGUGUGUGCUGCUGACACAAUACUAGUGGGUACACGCUCCCCCAACCGCACUGACGCACCUGUCGCUUGCCGCGCACACAGGUGUCGUGCCUGGCUGCUUGUAUGUUGCAGGAGAUAGAGGAGAGGAGCACGCGAUUUUGCUAAAUCCAAAUAGUGGCGGGAAGAUCAUCUUCAAGAUGAGGACUGCGUUGCUUUGUUUUGCUUUGGGGGUGAUGCUGCGAAGAACUGAGGCGAAGGAUUGUGCGUGUACUGGGAAGUCCAUGUGUCACUGUGAAGGAGUCAAAGGCAACAAGGGAGAAAGGGGUUGUGCAGGAGAGACGGGUCCACCUGGGUCGGUUGGGCAUCCAGGCUCAGAGGGUCACCUUGGACCUGUGGGGCCAAAGGUCAGGUGUCUGUUAUCAUUCUUUACUGUCCUUUCCUAGGAAGUGUAGAACUUGCCCUUGAACACAUAUCUAGGAUCAGAUUCCCCCACUCCUUAACCAUUAGGGGGGGAUGAACAACUGUCUGACCCUGUUUCAGUGGUUUCUAACAUCUCCCCUGUAUCAUACCAUGUAGCAAAACCAAUUUAACCCACGGAUGUUGUUCUGACUGAAUUGUACAUUUUAGCCGAUACUUUUUCCUUCAUUGCUACUACUGUGAAUGACCUAGUCACAUCUGGAACUGCUACUUCUACAGUCACCAAUAGUUACUACUACUGCACCUUCUUUCUGUUACGGAACCCAAUAAUUAGCCUACAGAUAAUGUUGCACUCACUUUGUCUAGGGGUCUUAGGCCUAGUUAACUGGUCAGUAACCUCAUUUAAGAUGUGCAUCUAUGUGAGAAAUCAGUGUAUGUGCCCAGGGAGAUAAUACAGUAUAUGUACAAAAAGGAAAAAUAUAAAAGGAAUGCCCCAAACUAAAGACAAAAACAAACGAAAGGCCUCAUGGCCACCAAAACAAACCAAGCAGCCUUACAGCUUACCAGCUGCUACUCUGACUGACCAUCACCUUCAUUGGCAGCACCUGAUGUGCUUAUCAACAAGGCUCAGCAUUUGGACAAGGUUGCUGCUGCCCCCUGGGGGAUGGAGUGUGGAAGUGUAUCCUGUCAAUAUGUUUGCCUAGCUGUGCGCUAACACGACACAGCCCACUACAUAACACUAUCAUGAAAAAUACUUUGAUUACAAGCAAGCACACCAUUUUUCUUCAGGAAAUUACAUUUUUCUAGUUUGAAUUACUAACUAUCACAACAUGCUCCUGACCCUCCUGAUGUAUUUAAAGUUUAAAUGGCGACUCUACUGUAAUUACAAUAGGCUACAUCAACAUUAGUUUCCAUUC